rnacentral:sRNA from 1 species
GCCCGGCAUGGUGGCUCACGCCUGUAAUCCCAGCGGCUAAGGAGGCUGAGGCAGGAGGAUCGUGACUUCAAAGCCAGCCUCAGCAACAGCAAGUUGCUAAGCAACUCAGUGAGACCCUGUCUCUA